UACGGGGGGAGCAAGCGUUGUUCGGAUUUACUGGGCGUAAAGGGCGCGUAGGCGGUCAGCACAAGUCAGUUGUGAAAUCUCCGGGCUUAACUCGGAAAGGUCAACUGAUACUGUGCGACUAGAGUGCGGAAGGGGCAACUGGAAUUCUCGGUGUAGCGGUGAAAUGCGUAGAUAUCGUUUGGAACGCCAAUGGUGAAAACAGACAGCUGGGAGUGUGCUGACGCUGAGACACGAAAGCCAGGGGAGCGAACGGGG
rnacentral:rRNA from 1 species